UGAAUCCGCGCGGGAGAGUUCCGGGCCGUACGUUCUCGUACGAGCGCCCGGGCGCCGAAGGAGCAAGUCCCUCCCUUGAAUCUCUCAGGCCCCGUUACCGCGCGGGCGAG
rnacentral:ncRNA from 2 species